UUGCAAUAAGAAAGGUAAAGGAAACACAAAUUAAAGCCCAAUCUCUCAAACCUAAAUCCCCCCAGCCGCAUACCCUUCCCCACUUUCUCAUACCCUUCUUCAACAAUUGGUUUCUCUGUUCACUUGAUAAAAGUAAAUCAAUUGAAGCCCUAGAUGGCCCAACGGCCACUAGUUCGUGAGAAUUUACGGAUUUAAGUCCCAAAAAGUGAAUAAUGAAAAAGAUAAAAAGAAAGCAAGACAGAAUCCAUCACUUUUAUAUUCAAAGAGCCAUAGUUCGUCGAUUGCAACAACAAAGCGACUAUACAAUAUUGGGGAGAAGAUCUUUUUAAGAAGUUAAAAAGUCUGCAGAUUUGUGGAAUGAGAGCAUAUAAGUAACAAACUAAGACAAGAUGUUGAUCAAGUUAAGGUGCAGUUGAAGAUCGUGGAAGGAGAGAAAGAGGAAGACUAUGCAGCUUUGGACUCAAACAAAAUGGUGUCACAAAAAUUGUGUAUUAUGACUAUGUUGAAAUAGAAAAAUACAAUUAUUAGUUAAUUUUUUUUUUGGAUCAAGUGCAAUUAUCUGUAACUUGAA